rnacentral:rRNA from 1 species
AGGACGAACGCUGGCGGCGUGCUUAACACAUGCAAGUCGAGCGGAAAGGCCCUUCGGGGUACUCGAGCGGCGAACGGGUGAGUAACACGUGGGCAACCUGCCCUUAGCUCUGGGAUAGCUCCGGGAAACCGGAAUUAAAUACCGGAUAUGACCUAGGCCGACAUCGGCCGUGGUGGAAAGUUUUUCGGCUAGGGAUGGACUCGCGGCCUAUCAGCUAGUUGGUGGGUAAUGGCCUACCAAGGCGACGACGGGUACG